GAUGAACGCUAGCGGCAGGCUUAACACAUGCAAGUCGAGGGGUAUCACGCUUUCGGGCGUGAGAGACCGGCGCACGGGUGCGUAACGCGUAUGCAAUCUACCUUUUGCAGAGGGAUAGCCCAGAGAAAUUUGGAUUAAUACCUCAUAGUAUAGAACAAUCGCAUGAUUGAGCUAUUAAAGUCACAACGGCAAAAGAUGAGCAUGCGUCCCAUUAGUUAGUUGGUAAGGUAACGGCUUACCAAGACUACGAUGGGUAGGGGUCCUGAGAGGGAGAUCCCCCACACUGGUACUGAGACACGGACCAGACUCCUACGGGAGGCAGCAGUGAGGAAUAUUGGACAAUGGGCGCAAGCCUGAUCCAGCCAUGCCGCGUGCAGGAUGACGGUCCUAUGGAUUGUAAACUGCUUUUGUACAGGAAGAAACACCUCUACGUGUAGAGACUUGACGGUACUGUAAGAA
rnacentral:rRNA from 1 species